UACGAAGGGUGCAAACGUUGCUCGGAAUCAUUGGGCGUAAAGCGCACGUAGGCGGCUUGCCAAGUCGGACGUGAAAUCCCUCAGCUCAACUGAGGACGUGCAUCCGAAACUGGCGAGCUUGAGUACUGAAGAGGAUCGCGGAAUUCCCGGUGUAGAGGUGAAAUUCGUAGAUAUCGGGAGGAACACCAGUGGCGAAGGCGGCAUCCUGGACCAUUACUGACGCUGAGUGAGCGAAAGCCAGGGGAGCAAACGGG
rnacentral:rRNA from 1 species